AACGAACGCUGGCGGCAUGCCUAACACAUGCAAGUCGAACGAGACCUUCGGGUCUAGUUGCGCACGGGUGCGUAACGCGUGGGAACCUGCCCUUAGGUUCGGAAUAACUCCCCGAAAGGGGUCCUAAUACCGGAUAAUGUCUUCGGACCAAAGAUUUAUCGCCUUUGGAUGGGCCCGCGUUGGAUUAGCUAGUUGGUAGGGUAAAAGCCUACCAAGGCGACGAUCCAUAGCUGGUCUGAGAGGAUGAUCAGCCACACUGGGACUGAGACACGGCCCAGACCCCUACGGGAGGAAGCAGUGGGGAAUAUUGGACAAUGGGCGAAAGCCUGAUCCAGCAAUGCCGCGUGAGUGAUGAAGGACUUAGGGUUGUAAAGCUCUUUUACACGGGAUGAUAAUGACAGUACCGGGAGAAUAAGCUCCGGCUAACUCCGUG
rnacentral:rRNA from 1 species